UGCAAGCGAAGGAGUGAGGCGGGCCUUUUUCUCAGGAUGCUGGGAAGAUAAUCUCUCAGCACGGGCACGCGCAAGAGCGUGAGAAAGAGGCGAUGCUUCCUCCGGCCUCGGAAUGAAGAUGGCGGGCAGUCAGCUUUCUGCAGGACGUUAAGCUGAACCUUGGACGCGGAGUAGAAACUUGAUGCGCACUCUAUGGAAGAACAGGCAGCCCGGGGCUGGGACGCCACCGUAAAUUAACACAGAUGAAAGGGAUGGAGAGUUAACUCGGUGGUUGACUACUGGGUGCUCUUCCAGAGGAAUCCGGUUCAGUUCUCAGCCUGCAACUCCAGUUCCAGGGGAUGGGACACCCUCUUCUGGUCUCCACAGUCAUCAGGUGGCAUGUACAAGGCACCUCCCAUACACAUUUUUAAAAAAAGUGAGAAUGCUUAGUGAGCACUUCGGUGGCAGGAAAGUCAGCCAGCGCCGUCCUAGCUGGCGUGCCGGCGCGAGCGAAACAGCGUCGGCUCUUAGGCCAGUCGCCCGAUUUCUCCCUCCGCCCUCUCGCUUGGUACCUCUCCUUGGGAUCCACAGGUUGUCUGCGGACUUUCUGGGGACCGGCGCAGAUUCCCAUUUUGAAUAUCUGAAAAGAAAAAGGCCGCAUAACCCGGCUUAGGAGCUUCGGUUACACAACCCAGAUGAGGACUCCAGAAGAGCCGAACGUCAGCUCACUCCUCGUUAGUAUAGUGAAACAAUGGACACGGCCAGUUGUAGCUGUAGCAAGCAGGACACGGAAGAAAGAAUAAAGCGCGCAAGUGGCAGGAACAAGAUGAAUGACCAGGGUUAUGGUAUGGAGAAAUGCGAUCAUGUCUCCGUUGACUCCUAGAUUUGGAAGAAAGGAUUUCUUUGGAUAUUUUAGAAGCACUGAUUUCAGUAAAAAAAAAAAAAAAAAAAGUUCCCCCUUGCGUUGGCCGGGAAUCGAACCCGGGUCAACUGCUUGGAAGGCAGCUAUGCUCACCACUAUACCACCAACGCAGUCAUUAGCACAACUGGGAUUAAAUGUAAAACUCUGUUUAGGAGUCUAGACAAGAUGGCAUCAUCUCCAGGAAAAAAACGUUGCAUAGAAGUCGCUUCUUUGAGUGAGCUAAGCGUGGCUCAGUAUUAGAGUUAGGCUUUCCGCCCAGCGCCGAGGAGACACUUCACCGUUUAACCGUAGUCGACUUUCCCCGGGAGCGCGAGCCUCUCCUCUCGGUAGCCGAGAGCCGGGAGAGCAAAGCGGAGUCCGCGCCUGGAGGAAACCGCCCGCGCUCACCGCGCCGCAGCUUCUGUUCACCACUCCUGUUAGAGCUGGGCCGCAGGGAGGCCUCGUGGCGCAACGGUAGCGCGUCUGACUCCAGAUCAGAAGGUUGCGUGUUCAAAUCACGUCGGGGUCAUCUGUCGCAUUUGUUUUCCAAAUAUGUGAUUUCUUUUAACAGUACAUUAAAGAUAAAAAGGAAAAUUCCUACCCACUACAUCGAGAAUUUUUCUCUCCUCAAAGCUGCUAAGACUUGUAGACAGUUUUAUGCCUUUUUCCGGUUUCUGCCAAAAUAACCAUGUCUUUAAUAUAAUAAAUAUUUAAAUAACAGAAA